rnacentral:lncRNA from 1 species
UUGGUUUUAAACAGACAUUAGUUAAAAUAUUGAUAUUCAGGAAUGUAUCAUUUGUGCAGUACAGUAGUACAAUGACAGAUUUGGGAGGAGGGGUGUAUUGUUGUCAUACAUAUGUCAUUGGUCCAGACAAAUCAUUUAUCGUGUCAAAAUCAUGAUACAGAAGGAAAUUUCCAGAUGCACGAUCAGAAUUUUACAGAAAAUAUUUCUUACUGAAUAUAGAAAAAUAGAACAUCUUCCCCUACUCCCCUUUUCAUGACCCUUAUAAAUCGGAUAGUUUUGUUUGUUUUAUCAAACUGUUUUUAUUUUCGAAAAUAAUAUUUGUACAAGGUGUUGUUAAUAACUGUAAUGGACAUUACAUAUAUAUGCCAUGCUUUCUCACACGACGUCGUACUUUUAUUUUCUCUUCCUGUGCAAUAUGAUAUUAAACUCAUUAUGCAGAGCAAUUUUUUAUGACUACUUGCAUAAUUGUUAAAUCGUAUUAAACAUGUUAAAUUCUGUAUCAGAUUUAUA